UGGUGGAGCGAUCUGUCAGGUUAAUUCCGAUAACGAGCGAGACCUUUUCCGCUAAAUAGCAUCGUGAACCAUUUAGUUGGCGGUAUGAUGAUACGUCUGUGUGAUGUGUAGGCGUGUUCGCACGUACUGCCAUCCGCGCAGCGUAUUGUUGACUGUCAAUGUCACAUGACGCUUCUUAGAGGCACUUCUGGCGUUUUAGCCGGAUGGAGAAAGGCAAAAACA
rnacentral:rRNA from 1 species